rnacentral:lncRNA from 1 species
UUUUGAGAUGUGCAAUGUCAGGGUACAAAGUGUACGGUCCAAACAUAAUCCGUACACUCCCAUGGAGAAACCUUGGACGCCAAGUCAUGAAGAAACAUGGUUGAACGUUAUUCACAAAGAAAGGAUCCAAAUGGCAUCUUAUCUUGCCUUGGAAAGCAUCAGGCAAGAUGCUCUUGCUACUGUCCGUUUAUGGAUAAGGUGUGGUCCCCUAUUGGCUUAUUCAGUCCACAAGAACAGCUCAUGACAGCCUGUAAAGGACAGACACACCCAAGACUCCCAUUGGCCAAGCAUGUGAUGAUUCUGGUCCAUAGAAUUCAAAAUAGGCACUCCUCCUUAGUUUGACUUCACAUGCUUGUGGUUUCUGAUGUGAAAACCCUAGUAGCUCGUGACCUUUCAUAUUUGAGCUCCUUAUUGUCAAUUGUAAACAUUUUCAAGAGAGUAAGGGGGAUUUCCCCUUCUCCUUCAUAGUCUUUGGUUACUUUGAAUCUCUCAAUCUCUAUUCUUUUGAUUACUCUGUUCUGGUUACUUAAUCUCAUACUCUCAGUCCCUUAUUCUCACUCAAUCUCCCAUAAUCUCUCUUAUACUUCCAUUCACUAAAUCUCACCUCCAUUAGUCUCUCUUCACCAUUUCAAGUUCUCUCUAGCCCUUGUGAGUUUGUUCAACACUUAUACAGCCUGAGACUCUGUAAAUCUUAUAUGGUAUCAGAGCCAGGUUCAUCAGAACCUGGUAGAAGCUUCCGCAUAUCCAUUACAAGCUCAUCCUCAUCUCAAAUCCAAGCCUUUGAAGAUCUGUCAAAACCGGCUACAUCUCUUCAAGAAGAAGCAGACCAAAGCCAUGGCGUUCUCUCAUGGUCUCUCCACCUUUCUCCUACCCACUUUCAAAUCAGGUGAUCCCAGUGUUCCUGUUUGGGAAUAUGACAACUUCCUCGUCAUUCUCAUCAAACCAGGAUGAAUCGCGAUGUAAGAAGAUGUAUUUGGAUACAUAAAGAAGUGGAGAAUCACCAGGAAGUGGAAUAAAUCUCAUAGGAAUUAGGAUGAAGAAGUUAUCCCACUUUCAAAUCAGGUGGAGUUGGCGACUUGGAAACAUGAAGAAAGGAGUGGUCUUUACAGUUUGAGAUACAAGAAGGUGGUCAUAAAGACAAGGAGGAGCUGUUAGGUGGCGAGUCUACAUCUCCAUUCCAUCAAAAUGUCAUGACCUGGUGCCUAGGAGGUUCAAGGAAUUAGCACAGAUUCCUUGGGUGUAAGCCAAUCCUUUUCCCUUCUUGAUAUGAGCUUGUAUUAUUGCUUGGUGGUAGUUGAGUGUUGUUAUUGGAUCGUUGGGUUGAUUGAACUUUUUGCUAGAUGGUAUUGUCUAGUUACUGUCCCAGGAUGCUUUAUGAGACUUGUUUGGUGUUCUUGAUGAUAUAUGCCAUGCCGUGAGUCUUGAAUGUGUUGCUAGGAUGCUAGAUGGUAUUGUCUCAUCCGCUGGUUGCAUUCAUGAUGUCUAAAACUGUUGUUAAGGUGUUUUGCAUUAUCAUUUUGUUGCUGCCUUAAGAUUGAAACAUCUUGAUUAAUGUCUAAGAUGGUGGUUAAGGUGGUUAACUAUUAUUGCCUAAAUACUAUGGGUUUAAUCAUUGAUCAUACAUAAGUAUUUAGAGAAUGUGCUUGCAUAGAUUAGGACUUGAUAUUAUCAUGAUUCUGUCUGCUGCAUUGACUUGCGUAUUUCCAUAGCUCAAAUCACCAUGAAUAUGUUGUAGGAAUGAGUAGAAUGUCUCAACUGAUUACAUCAUGAUUGAUAAGCUAUUUUGCAUAUAUAAGCAUGUCUCAUACUGUCUAAGUUCAAUCCUAUUAUUGUCUGAUCUCUUCUUGCAUUCAUAAAUAGAAACUGAUUAAGGUUAUUGCUUUAAUGAGGGAGGUCUUCAUGGUUUCCAAGCUUGACUUGUUCUACAUGGUCAAGCUUGAGGGGGAGUGUUGAGAAGAGGUGAUACAUUGAUAGAGGAAGAGUAUUGGGGCAGAUAGUAACUUUGGAGUUUUACCACAGUAACUUCGGUUUGACUGUGGUAACUAAGUUAAAAGCUUAGGAAGUUACUUUGCAUCCCUUUGGAGAGUGGAUCACGCCCAAGAGGAAGUCUGGAUAAGGAAGGAGUAGUUUGGAUAAGGUCUGGUCAUAGCUGGAAAGGUAAAGCACCUUUACAGCCUGUCCAAGCAUGUGAAGCAUCUUUACAGCCUAUCCCUUGACUUCACAUGCUUAUGAUUUCGAAAUCCUCUUUGUAUUAUCCUUAUCUCUUCAUAUAUAACUUGUAUCUGAGACAUUAAAUUAAUUAAUGGAGUUUUGAGUAUUCUCUCUAUUCUCUCUCUACUUAUUCUCUUAAUCUCUUUAAUCUUACACAAAACAAUCUGAUUGUUCUUAAACACACUCUAAUACACAAAAGUGUAUAUGGUAUCAGAGCCAGGUUACUAAAAGGGUGGAAGUGUGUUAUUCAUGUUCUUAAAAAAUCUGGUUUUGUGUUCUUGAGCUGUUCUUGAUGUUCUUGAGUGUUCUUGGUGGUUUUGAGCUCUGUUCUUCAUUUGCUGGGUUUUAUUGAGGACAUCUGAUGGAGUCAAACGUGAGCAGAGAGAUGAAGACAAGAUCAAGUUAUCAAGUGAAGAAAGGGAGCGAAAACAACUUGAUAUUGGUCAAGGAUUGAUUCCAAUGCUUGUGUCUUAUCUUUGCUGGAGUUUGAGUGAUGUUUCAGAUUCACAUGAUGUGCUCUUUGUUCAUCAUCAAUCUUAGUAAAAGAGGAAGACUUUACCCAUUGGGAAUGGUCGCUGGGGUGUAUGUGGAUACACAAGGCGAAUGGUCAUCACCUAAGUCUGGAGGAGACUGGUGACCAGAAGGCAUUGGAGAUAAAGGGAAGGGUUGAUCAGUGGAUGAAGCGCAAUCCAUGAGAUGUUGCGCUCCUGAUCUUAAGGCUCAUUGAGGCUCACUUCAAGCUUGGACCCAUACUCAAUCCAAGCUUGAGGAGCAAAGUGAGCCACCUGAUGAUCCUGUUGCUCAAUGACCUGUAUUACUCAAGGUCAUUACAAGCUGAUCAUGGAGUGAUUCAGCCGAAGUAGAGGGAAGAAGAAGGUCACUCAACAAGGCGUGUGAGGUGCUUGGAGAGUUGGCUGAGGUAUCUCCUCAAUGGAAUAAUGAUGUGGUGGAGGUUCAAGCAUCAAGUCCAAAGGAGAUGGAGGUGCUUUCCACAAGACUUAUCAUGGAGCUAUCAUGCGCUCACCAUCAAGCUUAGACCUUCCCUAUACUUGGUCUCAAGCCUGAAGAGGAGUGUGGAUGAGCUUGCAUGAUAAGAGAAGGAGCUGUUAAGCUCAGCAAGUGAGGGAUUCAAGUGGUGUGUGAAGAGCAGCCACCCCUCACCAUUUAUACAAGGGAGUAAACCUGAUCUUUAUCUCUUUCUAUACAAUCAUGAUAGGUUUAUCUCUUGAAAUUGUCUUGCAUCAAUUAGGUGCUGUCUAAGUUAUUGCAUUCAUGCAUUGAACUGUCAGAUUGAUCAUGCAUUGUUACCCUUGUCUAGAUUGUGCUUGUUCUUGAUCUUUUGUUUGCCUGUUUAGAAUUAAUAUUUUGUUGAGGCAUUGGUGAUCAAACAAGAUGUGUGAUCUUGCUUUGGUCCCAAUAGGAUGAUUUAAUUGUGCAUUGAGUUGUGGUGGUUUUAGGUACACAAGCAGUGAUACAAGUAACUCACCAACAACAAAGAAUGUAAAGACAAAGGUCCUUUGCCAUUGCAUAUCAUCACUAGGACAUGUCAGUCCCCAAUCUACAGGAAGUGUAGUGUGAUUGAUUAUGCAAUGAGAGAUGGCUAUUGCAUAAUACCAUUAGGACAUGUCUAGUCCUUAGUCUACAGGAAGUGUAGCAUGGGACAUUAUGCAAUAAGAAGUGUAACUUGUGAGACUCUUUAUGGUGAUUCAAACACCCUAGUUCCUGGUAUAAGGAAGAGAGCAGCUCACAAGACCGAGACCAUCACCACAGUCUGUUGAGACCGUGGUCUAAGGCCAUGAAAGUGCUUACACCCACACAAGCUUAGUUCCAAAUCAAAGUCUCGGAAACUAAGCUUGAGGGGGGAAUGUUAAAUAAGCAAGGUUCAUGGCCUGAUAGGUCUUUGCAAAGGCUUCUAAGAAGAACCAUCAACCGGGCCAAGUCAGUGGCGUAUCUAGGCAAGAGGCUGUUCAGAGCAGUCUUGGCAAGUGAGGAGGAAGGCUCUCCAUCAAUGCGGCUUCAAUGAGAGGUGGCUGAGGAGAAGCUGAUAAACCCAUUUAGUCAUCCAACAAGUUGAUGGUGCCAAGAAGAUGAUGCAUUGGCCGAGUGGGAAACUCACCAAAAAUAAAAAGGGAAGUCUACUUAUCAUGUUACUCAAGAUGAUAGACUUAUCUCCUUAAAAUUCAUUGAAUUAAUGCAGCUUAGUCUGAAAAGAUAAGCCUAUGUACUUGGAUUUCUCUCCUAAAGAACUGAGGCACUGCGUUCAUAUUGUUGAAUCAGGUAGUUUUGAUCUUGAUAAGCAACCUUUAGGAGAUAGAUGUGAUACCUACAGAGACUACUUGAGGGAGGAUCAAGUGGAGAGUCAAGCUGUAUCAGUCCCUAAGAUGAGCCGGUACAAGGGAAUGUGUACAAGUGGAGGAUGCGUAUGCUCAUAGAAAGCUCCUCACCAAAACAAAAAGGGAAGUAUCCCUUAGUCUCUUUCAGUUCAAUUCAUUCUUCUCUUAAGUGCUUAAGCUUGAGAAAGUUACUAGAAAUGAAUUGAUUGAACUGUGAUUAUACUGAAAAAGAUUGAUUGAAUUGUGUGCAUCAAUUGUGAUGCAGGAUAUUCAAAUUCUUGGUUCUUGAUAAGUACUGAUGCACCUUUGGGAUAAUGUAUCAGGUACCAUUGCUUGGGCCUCACUGAAGUGUUCCUGGUCGUUCCCUAGCUUCUCUAAGAUGGCUGUGAAGUCAGUUGAGAGGGGGAGACUUCAAACUGGUUCCAUGAAGAGGUGAAGCUGAAGUGUGUGCAAAGCUGUAAAGAGUUGCUGCACCUAUUAGGCCGUGAUCCAGAGCUUCUUGUGUCCAACCACAUUGGUUCUAAGGCACAAGAGCUCACUGGCCAAUCCCUAGGCUUUGGAGAGCUCUACUCUUUUUCCCUUGCAAGGUUUUGUCCCAAUGGGUUUUCCUUGUAAGGUUUUUAAUGAGGGAGACUCUUCGUCAUUCUAAUGAAAUCAGGAUGAAUCUGUUGAACUGAAGAGAAGAUGGAGCUUGUACAUUAGUAGGACAAGCUCCAGAAGAUGUUCAGAAAGUUUUCCUUGUAAGGUUUUUAAUGAGGGAGACUCUUCAGGGUUCCAAGCUUGACUUAGGAUCUCCUAGAGUCAAGCUUGAGGGGGAGUGUUGAACUGAAGAGAAGAUGGAGCUUGUACAUUAGUAGGACAAGCUCCAGAAGAUGUUCAGAAGAGUUCUUAUUAGCUUCAGAAGUGUCUAGAAGCGGCUAUCAUGGUGAAGUUAAGUCCAGGAGGGACUUAGAAUGAUCUUGUGAAGACAUUGGAGGAGUUAAGGAAAGAAUGGUUGAUAGUGCAAUGUUAGGGUCGAUGGUACGGCUGGCCAUACGGACAGUACGGACAGGAAAGACCCGAAACACUUUCUAUCAACCUUUGAGGAGAUUUUGAGAUGUGCAAUGUCAGGGUACAAAGUGUACGGUCCAAACAUAAUCCGUACACUCCCAUGGAGAAACCUUGGACGCCAAGUCAUGAAGAAACAUGGUUGAACGUUAUUCACAAAGAAAGGAUCCAAAUGGCAUCUUAUCUUGCCUUGGAAAGCAUCAGGCAAGAUGCUCUUGCUACUGUCCGUUUAUGGAUAAGGUGUGGUCCCCUAUUGGCUUAUUCAGUCCACAAGAACAGCUCAUGACAGCCUGUAAAGGACAGACACACCCAAGACUCCCAUUGGCCAAGCAUGUGAUGAUUCUGGUCCAUAGAAUUCAAAAUAGGCACUCCUCCUUAGUUUGACUUCACAUGCUUGUGGUUUCUGAUGUGAAAACCCUAGUAGCUCGUGACCUUUCAUAUUUAAGCUCCUUAUUGUCAAUUGUAAACAUUUUCAAGAGAGUAAGGGGGAUUUCCCCUUCUCCUUCAUAGUCUUUGGUUACUUUGAAUCUCUCAAUCUCUAUUCUUUUGAUUACUCUGUUCUGGUUACUUAAUCUCAUACUCUCAGUCCCUUAUUCUCACUCAAUCUCCCAUAAUCUCUCUUAUACUUCCAUUCACUAAAUCUCACCUCCAUUAGUCUCUCUUCACCAUUUCAAGUUCUCUCUAGCCCUUGUGAGUUUGUUCAACACUUAUACAGCCUGAGACUCUGUAAAUCUUAUAGAAUCGUGAUGUAAGAAAAUGUAUUGGUAUCAGAGCCAGGUUCAUCAGAACCUGGUAGAAGCUUCCGCAUAUCCAUUACAAGCUCAUCCUCAUCUCAAAUCCAAGCCUUUGAAGAUCUGUCAAAACCGGCUACAUCUCUUCAAGAAGAAGCAGACCAAAGCCAUGGCGUUCUCUCAUGGUCUCUCCACCUUUCUCCUGUCCAUUAAAGGCGUGCCUCACCUCCUGGUUAAGAUGAAACCUCUCAAGGAGAGAGCUUUCCCUUUGCUCAUGGAGUUGGCGACUUGGAAACAUGAAGAAAGGAGUGGUCUUUACAGUUUGAGAUACAAGAAGGUGGUCAUAAAGACAAGGAGGAGCUGUUAGGUGGCGAGUCUACAUCUCCAUUCCAUCAAAAUGUCAUGACCUGGUGCCUAGGAGGUUCAAGGAAUUAGCACAGAUUCCUUGGGUGUAAGCCAAUCCUUUUCCCUUCUUGAUAUGAGCUUGUAUUAUUGCUUGGUGGUAGUUGAGUGUUGUUAUUGGAUCGUUGGGUUGAUUGAACUUUUUGCUAGAUGGUAUUGUCUAGUUACUGUCCCAGGAUGCUUUAUGAGACUUGUUUGGUGUUCUUGAUGAUAUAUGCCAUGCCGUGAGUCUUGAAUGUGUUGCUAGGAUGCUAGAUGGUAUUGUCUCAUCCGCUGGUUGCAUUCAUGAUGUCUAAAACUGUUGUUAAGGUGUUUUGCAUUAUCAUUUUGUUGCUGCCUUAAGAUUGAAACAUCUUGAUUAAUGUCUAAGAUGGUGGUUAAGGUGGUUAACUAUUAUUGCCUAAAUACUAUGGGUUUAAUCAUUGAUCAUACAUAAGUAUUUAGAGAAUGUGCUUGCAUAGAUUAGGACUUGAUAUUAUCAUGAUUCUGUCUGCUGCAUUGACUUGCGUAUUUCCAUAGCUCAAAUCACCAUGAAUAUGUUGUAGGAAUGAGUAGAAUGUCUCAACUGAUUACAUCAUGAUUGAUAAGCUAUUUUGCAUAUAUAAGCAUGUCUCAUACUGUCUAAGUUCAAUCCUAUUAUUGUCUGAUCUCUUCUUGCAUUCAUAAAUAGAAACUGAUUAAGGUUAUUGCAUAUUUGUUGAGAAGAGGUGAUACAUUGAUAGAGGAAGAGUAUUGGGGC